rnacentral:rRNA from 1 species
GGUAGGGGAGCGUUCCAUAUGCAUUGAAGGUAUACCGUAAGGAGUGCUGGAGCGUAUGGAAGUGAGAAUGCCGGUAUAAGUAACGAAAAGAAGGGUGAGAAUCCCUUCCGCCGAAAACCCAAGGUUUCCUGAGGAAGGCUCGUCCUCUCAGGGUAAGUCGGGACCUAAGCCGAGGGCGAAAGCCGUAGGCGAUGGACAACUGGUUGAGAUUCCAGUACCACCUGUCUUCGUUUGAGCGAUGGGGUGACGCAGUAAGGUAGGCGCAGCGCACCGUUGGUUGUGUGCGUCCAAGUCUUUAGGGAGUAGCCAUAGGCAAAUCCGUGGCUAUGUUAAUCCUGAGAGGCGACGGGGAGCGAAAUUUAAGUAGCGAACUGGCUGAUCCUACACUGCCAAGAAAAGCCUCUAGCGAGAAGUGCAGGUGCCCGUACCGUAAACCGACACAGGUGGGUGAGGAGAGAAUCCUAAGGCGCGCGAGAGAACCCUCGUUAAGGAACUCGGCAAAAUUACCCCGUAACUUCGGGAUAAGGGGUGCCCCGUUAUCGUGAGCAGAUUUACUCUGCAAAGCGAGAGGGGGCCGCAGUGAAUAGGCCCAAGCGACUGUUUAGCAAAAACACAGGUCUCUGCUAAGCCGCAAGGCGAAGUAUAGGGGCUGACGCCUGCCCAGUGCUGGAAGGUUAAGGGGAUGGGUUAGCCGUAAGGCGAAGCUCUGAACCGAAGCCCCAGUGAACGGCGGCCGUAACUAUAACGGUCCUAAGGUAGCGAAAUUCCUUGUCUGGUAAGUUCAGACCCGCACGAAAGGCGUAACGAUCUGGGCGCUGUCUCGACGAGGGGCUCGGUGAAAUUGUAAUACCGGUGAAGAUGCCGGUUACCUGCGAUAGGACAGAAAGACCCCGUGGAGCUUUACUGCAGCUUGAUAUUGGAUUUUGGUAGUGCAUGUACAGGAUAGGUGGGAGACUAAGAAUCCAGGUCGCAAGGCUUGGAGGAGUCAAUGGUGGGAUACCACUCUUGAAUUGCUGGAAUUCUAACCUGGGCCCGUAAACCGGGUCAGGGACAUUGUCUGGCGGGCAGUUUGACUGGGGCGGUCGCCUCCCAAAGAGUAACGGAGGCGCCCAAAGGUUCCCUCAGCGCGGUUGGAAAUCGCGCGUAUAGAGUGUAAAGGCAGAAGGGAGCUUGACAGCGAGACCAACAAGUCGAGCUGGGACGAAAGUCGGGCUUAGUGAUCCGGCGGUAUCGAGUGGAAGAGCCGUCGCUCAACGGAUAAAAGCUACCCCGGGGAUAACAGGCUUAUCUCCCCCAAGAGUCCACAUCGACGGGGAGGUUUGGCACCUCGAUGUCGGCUCAUCGCAUCCUGGGGCUGUAGUAAGUCCCAAGGGUUGGACUGUUCGUCCAUUAAAGCGGUACGCGAGCUGGGUUCAGAACGUCGCGAGACAGUUCGGUCCCUAUCUGUCGUGGGCGUAGGAGAUUUGAGGAGUGCUGCUC